rnacentral:lncRNA from 1 species
AUGGACCCAGUGCCUGGAACACUGGGUCUAGAGGAGCGAACACAGGAGAAUACGUUCAGGGGAGCAGCUUGUGAACUUGAUAUUUUCAUCCCCUGCCCGUCUGGCUGUAGCCCCAGGGGCACAUGGGAGGAAGAACCCCUCCUUAGGGUCUGUGUCUCUCAACAGGGGGAGCCUGGCUUGUCAGGGAGACCUGGAGCUGAGGGUCCGGAGGGACCUCCAGGACCAGUUGGUCGAAGGGGAGAGAAGGGAGAACCUGGAGAGCCUGGCAAACCUGGAGAGGUCAUGGUGAGUAAGGAUGCUGAGGCUGGGGGGGGGGACUCGAGGGUAGAGUAUUGCCCCAAGUCCCUUCCUCUGGCAUAUCCAGCUACCUCAUAAAUAGCAGGAUGUGCCCUCCCCCCACACCCCAGAAACCCAACAUUCCUUGGGAAUCCAUAUGUUCCAAAGGGCCCCAACUUCCUUAUCUCUUUGGUUUCAGGGACUUGAUGGUGCUGGAGUGAAAGGAGAGAAGGUAGGGGAAGACCCGGGGCCACUGGCAGUUUUGGAGGGUCUGAUUUCUUUAAUGUCCUGGAUAGGGUG